AGUACUUUACCAAAAUUAAUGCUUCUUCCCCGAUUGGCCCAUCAUAAAAUUGAAAAUUUUUUGCAUCCAUUUUGGUUGCGGCCCUUCUUCCUCUGCUUCCUCGUAGAUCUUACAUUUUCUGUAUGAUGUGAGAAGUGCUACCUACUGAUCUAUGGUUGUGAGCAGAGUGUUGGAGGAUGUGUUCAAAAUUUGGAGAAGAUUGAGUGCAUUGGGUUUACAUGGAUGUAAGAAAGACACCUCAAGCUCACAGUCACCAUAUUUAUCCUUCAAGGAAAAUGGAAAUAAUUUAUCACGCGACCAAUAACGAAGAAAAAGGGUAUUUUCAAGCUUUGAUAACAGGGCUCAAGUGAUCGGGCAAUGAAGCAACACCGUCCAAAUACGAUAUAAUGCUGGACAUGCUAGGCCUAGCCGCUGCCACCGGGUGUGAGCAACGCAACCCAAGCUUCAACACAAGUCUUUUGGUAACUGAAACCAUAAUUUCUCAAGUAGGAGAUUUUGUAAGGGAGAAAAAAGAGAU